rnacentral:lncRNA from 1 species
ACCAAUGAACACUUAGGUCAAUUCCUUCUCUUGGCUAUUGUGAGUAAUGCUGCGAUGGAUAUGAGAAAGCAGACAUCCCUUCAACAUACUGACUUCCUUGGGUGUAUAUCCAGAAGUGAACUUGCGAGCAAUCAUAUGGUAGCUCUACUCUAAUUGUUGAGGAGACUUCAUAUUGCUUUCCGUCAUGGCUGUACUGAUCCACAUUCCCACCAACAGUCAUGGCUGCACUGAUCCACAUUCCCACCAACAGUCAUGGCUGCACUGAUCCACAUUCCCGCCAAUAGUGUGCAUAGAGGAUAGUCCACAUCCUCACCGGCCUUGUUUUCUUUCAUCUUUUUGACAAUUAGGUGUGAAGUGAUAUCUCAUUGUGGUUUUGACUUACAUUUCCUAGAUGGUUGGGGAUAUUAAGCGUUUUUUCAUAUACUCAUUGGCCUUUUGGAUGUCUUCUUUUGAGAAAUAUCUAUUCAGGUCCAUUACCUAUUUCUUAAUUGGGUUGUUUUCUUGAUAUUGAGUUGUUUGAAUUCCUUAUAUAUUUUGGCUAUUAACCCCUUAUCAAGAAUUCUGUCUGCAGCGUUCUUACCAUCACCUUUGCCUGGAAAAUUCCUUUUCCCUCAAAAUCUAGUUUAAAGGUCUGCUUUCAUACAUAAUUCAAAAUUGCUUUCCAAACAGGUUGAACAAUCUGUGCUCCAGCACCACAGUGUAGGCAUGCCAUUUGCUAGUGGAGUGUUUUUCUUAUUAAUUUAUAGGAGCUCUUCUAUAUAUUUAGGAGUUCAACACUUUGCUUGCCAUAUUUAUGCUAAUAUUUUUUCAAAUUUUUUCUCUUUGCAUCAUUUUUACUCGAGGAGAUUUUUAUUUUAUGUAUUCAUACCUUCAUUGAUGGUUCCUUCCAUUAAUUUUAUGCCAACAAUUUCUUCCCAGAACUGAGAUCCAUUAAAUAUUGUCCUCUAAUAUAUAUUGUUUUACAUUUAUCUUAAAUUCACAGGCAAACUACCUUGGUAUAAAUUAGGGAAAAUCUAACCUGAUUCUUUUCCAGUGUCAUUCAGAAAAUAAUUCCCUUUUGCGGACUCCAAAGCAGAAUGUGACAUAAUCAGAUGUGUUUUUAAAUAGCUUGCUGGCUCCAGUGUGGUAGGAAAAAAAACAGCAAUCAUAAAAAACAACCAACAUUUAUUUAGUACUUACUGUGCACAGGCUGUGUUCUGAGUCCUUUGCAGACAUUCACUCAUUCAACCCUCAUAAUCACCCCAUAGGAAACAAAGGCUUACACUGGGGUUUAAGUAACUUGCCCAAGGUCAGAGCUAGAAGCGGCUGAACCAGGGAUGGGAUGGAACCAGGAAGGGGCCAUCAGAGUUAAGCAGAUAAGUCAACGCACCAGUCCAGAUGAGGUAGAGGGACUGGCCUAGACCAUGGCAGGGAAAGGAGAGGAGAUGGCAUACUGGUCAUGUAUUGAAGAUAUGAGUCUGGGAUUUGGUAGUCAACCACCCAUUGCGGGCCACGAGGACAAGGGAGAGCUCUAGAGCCCCAUCUCAGCAUGCAGCUGUUAAGUCCCUCAAAGACUUGCACUUUCCGUAAAACCAUCGCCUUCCUCUCCCUCACUGUUCCCAGCAUCCCCGGACUGCACAGGGUAGAAAAGCAGCAAGUUUGGACCACAAUCCCAAAUACCGAAAUCCCAAAAGAUCAAAAUCGCUAAAACCUCCAACAUCUAACAUCCCAAAAGUGGCAAUUACAGGACAAGUUUUUUGUUUGUGUUUCUUUUCUUUUUAAAGUUUUUUUUUUUCACUAUUUUAAAUUGUCAGCAUUUUCGUUCACAGUUCUGUACGCUGUGUAUUUCAUCUUUGCAUCAUUUCCAAUACUGGAGGUAUAAAUUCUAUAGGGACUUUUAUUUUAUUUUUAUUUAUUUAUUUAUUUUUGAGACAGGGUCUCUCUCUGUCAUUCAGGCUGGAGGGCAGUGGCACGGCCACUGCUCACUGCAGCCUCCACUGCCCGGGCUCAAUUGAGCCUCCCAAGGAGCCGAGACUACAGGCACACAUCACCACGCCCGGCUAAUUUUUGUAUUUUUUGUAGAGACAGGGUUUCGCCAUGUCACCCAGGCUUGUAGAGAUUUUUAGAGUUCUAAUUCUUUAUGCAUUUUUUGCAAAUCUGACUUCAUAAAAGUGAACUAUCACAAUGCUGCUUUGCAAGCUGUGUGUGUGUGUAAAAGCGUUGAAACUUCCUCAAUAAAUGAAAAGAUAUCUUUUUUGUACAUCUGCAUUUGUGAAAGACAACAUUUCUCCAGAUCUCUCUCAGCUCUUUGGGUGACUGCAUAUGUAUGUGGCGGGGACCCAUCGAGGUUGCUGAGCGAUC